rnacentral:rRNA from 1 species
GCAGGUGCGUUAAUAGCGCACUUGCUUGACUAAGGCUCCAGAGGAAGCCACGGCUAACUCUGUGCCAGCAGCCGCGGUAAUACAGAGGCGGCAAGCGUUGUUCGGAAUUAUUGGGCGUAAAGAGCACGUAGGCGGCCUUGCAAGUCAGUUGUGAAAGCCUUCCGCUUAACGGAAGAACGGCAUCUGAUACUACAGGGCUUGAGUACGGGGGGGGAGAGUGGAACUUCUGGU